CCUACGGGAGGCAGCAGUGAGGAAUAUUGGUCAAUGGAGGAAACUCUGAACCAGCCAUGCCGCGUGCGGGAGGAAGGCCCUACGGGUUGUAAACCGCUUUUACGGGGGAGCAAUAAGCGCCGUGCGCGGCGCGAUGAGAGUACCCCGGGAAUAAGCAUCGGCUAACUCCGUGCCAGCAGCCGCGGUAAU
rnacentral:rRNA from 1 species